GGAUUAGGCAUGCAAGUCGAACGAGAAAGGUCCUUCGGGACUGAGUAGAGUGGCGAAAGGGUGAGUAAUGCACAGGCAACCUACCUUCGAGAUGGGAAUAACCUCGGGAAACUGGGGCUAAUACCCAAUAGUGCCGCGGAUCGCAUGGUGCGCGGCUAAAGGUAGCUUCGCUUCCGCUCGGAGAGAGGCCUAUGUCCUAUUAGCUUGUUGGUAGGGUAACGGCCUACCAAGGCUGCGAUGGGUAGCCGACCUGAGAGGGUGACCGGCCACACUGGGACUGAGACACUGCCCAGACUCCUACGGGAGGCUGCAGUCGAGAAUCUUCCGCAAUGCGCGCAAGCGUGACGGAGCGACGCCGCGUGAGGGAUGAAGGCCUUCGGGUUGUAAACCUCUGUCACCUGGGAUGAAUGCUGCGCAGUUAAUAGCUGUCGUAGUUGACCUCACCAGGAGAGGAAGCACCGGCUAAAUACGUGCCAGCAGCCGCGGUAAUACGUAUGGUGCGAACGUUGUUCGGAAUCACUGGGCUUAAAGAGCGCGUAGGCGGUUGAGAAAGUCUGAUGUGAAAUCCCUCGGCUCAACCGAGGAAUUGCAUUGGAAACUUCUUGGCUAGAGUGCAGAAGGGGAGAGUGGAAUUCCUGGUGGAGCGGUGAAAUGCGUAGAUAUCAGGAGGAACGCCGGAGGCGAAAGCGACUCUCUGGUCUGCAACUGACGCUGAAGUGCGAAAGCCAGGGGAGCGAACGGGAUUAGAUACCCCGGUAGUCCUGGCCCUAAACGAUGGGCACUAAGUAGAGGGGUUUU
rnacentral:rRNA from 1 species